UGCGGAAGGUCAUUAAUCGAAGCAACAUGUUUCUCAGCAUGGUAUUUCAAACCCCACCUGUGUAUUUUACCUGUUGCUUCCGUGCUGCGCAUGCUGCGAAUGUGUGCCUUGCGGUCCCGGGGAGUAACCACUACUCCUAGGGCGCGUGGGAGCCGGCACGGGAGGGAAACCCACAAACUCUUGCCCUUGAAUGCCUUCCGUCUGAACUGUAAUACAUGAAAAGUUAAAACUUUCAACAACGGAUCUCUUGGUUCUCGCAUCGAUGAAGAACGCAGCGAAAUGCGAUAAGUAGUGUGAAUUGCAGAAUUCCGUGAAUCAUCUAAUCUUUGAACGCACAUUGCGCCUCCUGGUAAUCCGGGAGGCAUGCCUGUUCGAGCGUCACUAAAACAAUAUCAACCAAAACCAAUUUUUGUGCUUGGUCAUGGAGGAAGAGUCCGCCGUGUUGCGGUCUCCCCUCCGAAAAUCAAUGGCGGAAGGUCGCUGGUACCCGGCGUUGGAGUAUUAUUCGCCGACCAUCCUGUGUCGUUCCUGCCUCCACACCCCCACAAUUCUCUUGAUUGACCUCGGAUCAGGUAGGGAUACCCGCUGAACUUAAGCAUAUCAUA
rnacentral:rRNA from 1 species